rnacentral:rRNA from 1 species
CCUACGGGAGGCAGCAGUGAGGAAUAUUGGUCAAUGGGCGGAAGCCUGAACCAGCCAAGUAGCGUGCAGGAUGACGGCCCUACGGGUUGUAACCUGCUUUUAUACGGGAAUAACGCGCCUUACGGGUAGGGCUUUGCAUUUACCGUAUGAAUAAGGCCCGGCUAAUUCCGUGCCAGAAGCCGCGGUAAUACGGAAGGUCCGGGCGUUAUCCGGAUUCAUUGGGCUUAAAGGGAGCGUAGGCGGGCGUUCAAGUCAGCUGUAAAAUCGCGCGGCUCAACCGCGCCCCGCAGUUGAAACUGGACGCCUUGAGUUCACAACAGGCAGGCGGAAUUCGUGGUGUAGCGGUGAAAUGCAUAGAUAUCACGAGGAACCCCGAUUGCGAAGGCAGCCUGCCGGGGUGCGACUGACGCUGAGGCUCGAAGGUGCGGGUAUCAAACAGGAUUAGAUACCCGAGUAGUC